UGGGGAAUCUUCCGCAAUGGGCGAAAGCCUGACGGAGCAAUGCCGCGUGAGUGAAGAAGGCCUUCGGGUUGUAAAACUCUGUCCUUAUCGAAGAGAGGUGGGUAUGUGAAUAAUGUACCUAUAGGACGGUAGAUAAGGAGGAAGCCCCGGCUAACUACGUGCCAGCAGCCGCGGUAAUACGUAGGGGGCGAGCGUUGUCCGGAAUCACUGGGCGUAAAGGGCGCGUAGGCGGUUUAAUAAGUCAGUGGUGAAAACUGAGGGCUCAACCCUCAGCCUGCCACUGAUACUGUUAGACUUGAGUAUGGAAGAGGAGAAUGGAAUUCCUAGUGUAGCGGUGAAAUGCGUAGAUAUUAGGAGGAACACCAGUGGCGAAGGCGGCUUACUGGACGGUAACUGACGUUGAGGCUCGAAAGCGUGGGGGAGCAAACAGGAUUAGAUACCC
rnacentral:rRNA from 1 species